rnacentral:rRNA from 1 species
UACGUAGGAUGCAAGCGUUGUUCGGAAUUACUGGGCGUAAAGAGUACGUAGGCGGUAUGAUAAGUCUGCUAUUAAAGACUGGAGCUUAACUCCAGGACUGUAGUGGAAACUGUCAGACUAGAGGACAAUAGAGGAAGUUGGAAUUCUCAGUGUAGCGGUGAAAUGCGUAGAUAUUGGGAAGAACACCAGUGGCGAAAGCGGACUUCUGGGUUGUUACUGACGCUGAGGUACGAAAGCGUGGGGAGCAAACGGG